rnacentral:rRNA from 1 species
UACGUAGGGUGCAAGCGUUGUCCGGAAUUAUUGGGCGUAAAGAGCUCGUAGGCGGUCUGUCGCGUCGGCUGUGAAAACCCGGAGCUCAACUCCGGGCCUGCAGUCGAUACGGGCAAACUGGAGUGUUGCAGGGGAGACUGGAAUUCCUGGUGUAGCGGUGAAAUGCGCAGAUAUCAGGAGGAACACCGGUGGCGAAGGCGGCUUCCUGGACACCAACUGACGCUGAGACGCGAAAGCGUGGGGAGCAAACAGG